CGUAUAGACCGUACCCGAAACCGACACAGGUGGUCAGGUAGAGAAUACCAAGGCGCUUGAGAGAAGUGUCCUGAAGGAACUCGGCAAAUUGCCUCCGUACCUUCGGAAGAAGGAGGCCCUCAUUGCGCGCAAGCGUUUUGAGGGGGCACAGGCCAGGGGGUAGCGACUGUUUAGCAAAAACACAGGGCUCUGCUAAGUCGGCUUCAAGACGACGUAUAGGGCCUGACGC
rnacentral:rRNA from 1 species